rnacentral:rRNA from 1 species
GAUCCUGGCUCAGGAUGAACGCUAGCGGCAGGCUUAAUACAUGCAAGUCGUGGGGCAGCAGGUUUGUAGCAAUACAGAUGCUGGCGACCGGCAAACGGGUGCGGAACACGUACAGAACCUUCCUUUGAGCGGGGAAUAGCCCAGAGAAAUUUGGAUUAAUACCCCAUAGUAUAAUGAAGUGGCAUCACUUUAUUAUUAAUGAUUUAUCACUCGAAGAUGGCUGUGCGGCUGAUUAGGUAGUUGGCGGGGUAAAGGCCCACCAAGCCUGCGAUCAGUAACUGGUGUGAGAGCACGACCAGUCACACGGGCACUGAGACACGGGCCCGACUCCUACGGGAGGCAGCAGUAAGGAAUAUUGGUCAAUGGAGGCAACUCUGAACCAGCCAUGCCGCGUGGAGGAUGAAGGUCCUCUGGAUUGUAAACUUCUUUUAUAUGGGACGAAAAAGGCUUUUCUAAGUCGUCUGACGGUACCAUAUGAAUAAGCACCGGCUAACUCCGUG